GUAUUUGACCGAUUUGCCUCAGAUCACAACUGAAAUUUAGAAAACCCGAGAAGAAGAAGGAGAAAACGAAUGGACUGGUAAGCUGAGCUAAUCAGCCUUAAUGAAUGCAGCCGUGCAUCAUGACUCAUUUCAAUCAUUUAGAUUUACGGCUUGGCUCCAGGCCACGCAUGAUUAGUCCAUCGGACGAGGUCGUCUCCCUCAGAAGAAAUGCGAAGCACCCACACCUUCCCUGAGGACUCAAACUGCCAACUCUCAGCUGUCAGGCGAUGGCGUCAGUGUGAUGGAGGGUCAAAGGGGCAAACCAGUCGAUGUCCUUCAGCUGACUUUGUGAACCGUCUGUAGAGUGGCGGCUCACAGUGUGAGGGGAAAGAGGGACAUGAAAGUAGGACAGAGGAGUCUGGCCCCCUUCCCUUCGAACCAGAAGCACAGAUUUGCAGUAGCGAGAGAGAAGACAUUCGUCCUGGGUGGAGAGAGGGAAAGGACAACGACGUUUUUUCCCUGAGACUUACCGCGGCCCACCGAGGG